rnacentral:rRNA from 1 species
GACGAACGCUGGCGGCGUGCUUAACACAUGCAAGUCGAACGGAAAGGCCCUGCUUUUGUGGUGUGCUCGAGUGGCGAACGGGUGAGUAACACGUGAGUAACCUGCCCUUGACUUUGGUAUAACUUCAGGAAACUGGGGCUAAUACCGGAUAGGAGCUCCUGCUGCAUGGUGGGGGUUGGAAAGUUUCGGCGGUUGGGGAUGGACUCGCGGCUUAUCAGCUUGUUGGUGGGGUAGUGGCUUACCAAGGCUUUGACGGGUAGCCGGCCUGAGAGGGUGACCGGCCACAUUGGGACUGAGAUACGGCCCAGACUCAUACGGGAGGCAGAAGUGGGGAAUAUUGCACAAUGGGCGGAAGCCUGAUGCAGCAACGCCGCGUGCGGGAUGACGGCCUUCGGGUUGAAAACCGCUUUCGCCUGUGACGAAGCGUGAGUGACGGUAAUGGGUAAAGAAGCACCGGCUAACUACGUG